AGGAGGAUUGCUUGAUCCCAGAGGUUUGGAGCCGCACUGGACAACACAGUGACAACCUCUCUCCUAAUUUGUUUUUACAGUAGGUUUCUGUUGGUUUGGAAGUUGCUCAGUAUACCAGCAAGUGUCCUUGUGAUUAGAGCAAGAAAAAUCAAGAUGAACCACUAAAGGAAUAUCUCUUCAGUGAGUCUGACAUGGUCCGUUUUGAUUUCCCGAGACAGAGAGAAACCUGCCAUCAUGAUGACAGAGAGUGUUGCCUAUGCCCAACUUUUGGUCCAUCCCUCAUAAAGGAGAGUCUGGGGGACAGGAAGGAGGAAUUGUUUUGUCGACAUGCUAUUAGGCUGAAGGCCUAGAGCUUUGGAUUCACACUCAGGCAAACAAGAGUCAAACUGAACUUGAGGCCUACCAGCCAGAAACCAUCAACUAAUCUCUAACCUUCUGCUGUGACCAUCAAAUACGAUUUCUUUAUUUUGUUUCCCAUGAGCAUUUUAUCAAGUUUCCUUUCUUGCCCCCCUCAGCAGACUGCUAACUUGCUUGUACAGUAGGCCCCAUUUUUUAAAAAAAUUUUUUAUUGUUGGUUGUUCAAAACAUUACAUAGUUCUUAAUAUAUCAUAUUUCACACUUUGAUUCAAGUGGGUUAUGAACUCCCAUUUUUACCCUGUGUACAAAUUGCAGAAUCACAUCAGUUACACAUCCAUUGAUUUACAUAUUGCCAUACUAGUGUCUGUUGUGUUCUGCUGCCUUUCCUAUCCUCUACUAUCCCCCCUCCCCUCCCCUCCCCUCUUCACUCUCUACCCCAUCUACUGUCAUUCAUUUCUCCCCCUUGUAUUAUUUUCCCCUUUCCCCUCACUUCCUCUUGUAUGAAAUUUUGUAUAACCCUGAGGGUCUCCUUCCAUUUCCAUGCAAUUUCCCUUCUCUCUCCCUUUCCCUCCCACCUCUCAUCCCUGUUUAAUGUUAAUCUUCUUCUCAUGCUCUUCGUCCCUACUCUGUUCUUAGUUACUCUCCUUAUAUCAAAGAAUUGACAUUUGGCAUUUGUUUUUUAGGGAUUGGCUAGCUUCACUUAGCAUAAUCUGCUCUAAUGCC
rnacentral:lncRNA from 1 species